CCAAAACAUAGCAAUCUUGGCCUCUGGGUCUUGAAAGCUUCAACCAUUUGUGAACCAAACCUUCUUUUCGCUUCGGCAGCAAUGGCGGUCUCGUCAUGUCAGCCUGCCGCUAGCACCAUUGAAAACCUGCUGUAUUAUAUGUCUGAACACGAAUAUUUUUGAAUUCAAUCA
rnacentral:misc_RNA from 1 species